rnacentral:rRNA from 1 species
AUGACCCGUAGCUGUUUAACACAGAUGUUAAUUACGUCGCGGUACAAGCCAAGCCAUUUUCCGUAUAUUCGCCAUAAAGUUCUGUUGAGAAACACAGUAAAGUUCAGCGGGGCAGAGCGCACAGUACCCCUCCCUCCCCCCACACCUCCGCAGCUUUCCUCCCCUUUAUCCAUCUCCUCCGCCACUCAGCUCCUCCACCGCCGUGGCGCCGAUUCAGAGACACUGCCGACGGCGGUGUGGCAGAUCGAACUGGGGCAAGUCGAUCCGGCAAAGCAUAUAGCUAUGCUAAAAAAACGGGGGCGGAGGACGCGGCCACCUGGUUGGCGUCAACGGCGAGCGUCCGACAGGCCGUCAGUCUCAUUCAGUUUUCUGUCGCCCCGCCCUAGAUGA